rnacentral:rRNA from 1 species
UAGCUAGUUGGUGAGGUAAAGGCUUACCAAGGCGACGAUCUGUAGCGGGUCUGAGAGGAUGAUCCGCCACACUGGAACUGAGACACGGUCCAGACUCCUACGGGAGGCAGCAGUGGGGAAUUUUGGACAAUGGGGGCAACCCUGAUCCAGCCAUGCCGCGUGAGUGAAGAAGGCCUUCGGGUUGUAAAGCUCUUUCGGCCGGGAAGAAAUCGCAUGGGCCAAUACCCUGUGUGGAUGACGGUACCGGAAUAAGAAGCACCGGCUAACUACGUGCCAGCAGCCGCGGUAAUACGUAGGGUGCGAGCGUUAAUCGGAAUUACUGGGCGUAAAGCGUGCGCAGGCGGUUUUGUAAGACAGGCGUGAAAUCCCCGGGCUUAACCUGGGAACUGCGUUUGUGACUGCAAGGCUAGAGUACGGCAGAGGGGGGUGGAAUUCCACGUGUAGCAGUGAAAUGCGUAGAGAUGUGGAGGAACACCAAUGGCGAAGGCAGCCCCCUGGGUCGAUACUGACGCUCAUGCACGAAAGCGUGGGUAGCAAACAGGAUUAGAUACCCUGGUAGUCCACGCCCUAAACUAUGUCAACUAGGUGUUGGGUGGGUAAAACCAUUUAGUACCGUAGCUAACGCGUGAAGUUGACCGCCUGGGGAGUACGGCCGCAAGGUUAAAACUCAAAGGAAUUGACGGGGACCCGCACAAGCGGUGGAUGAUGUGGAUUAAUUCGAUGCAACGCGAAAAACCUUACCUACCCUUGACAUGCCAGGAACUUGCCAGAGAUGGCUUGGUGCCCGAAAGGGAGCCUGGACACAGGUGCUGCAUGGCUGUCGUCAGCUCGUGUCGUGAGAUGUUGGGUUAAGUCCCGCAACGAGCGCAACCCUUGUCGUUAAUUGCCAUCAUUUAGUUGGGCACUUUAACGAGACUGCCGGUGACAAACCGGAGGAAGGUGGGGAUGACGUCAAGUCCUCAUGGCCCUUAUGGGUAGGGCUUCACACGUCAUACAAUGGUCGGUACAAAGGGUUGCCAAGCCGCGAGGCGGAGCCAAUCCCAGAAAGCCGAUCGUAGUCCGGAUUGCAGGCUGCAACUCGCCUGCAUGAAGUCGGAAUCGCUAGUAAUCGUGGAUCAGCAUGUCACGGUGAAUACGUUCCCGGGUCUUGUACACACCGCCCGUCACACCAUGGGAGCGGGUUCCGCCAGAAGUAGGUAGCCUAACCGCAAGGGGGGCGCUUACCACGGCGGGGUUCGUGACUGGGGUGAAGUCGUAACAAGGUUACCGUAGGGGAACCUGCGGCUG